CUCGAAUCCCGGGAAUUGUAUCACCUGAGGUGAUGUUAGAGUUGAUGAACCCUUGCUUAUGAUGAUUCCUGCAGUCUGGAGAUGGAAUCGCAAAGGAAUAAUAUGUCGUCCAGAUCAGACAACGGACCCUUGUGAUUGUCCAUGAACCAUUACCGGUUUCAGAAGUAUGGGGAAGCACCAAGGUGCCGAGUCGAGUCCGAAUGGUAGUCAUGUGAAUGUGACGGUCCUACCAGAUGAAAGAUGAGGCGUGUGCUCUCUGGUGCUAUGGGCACGGAGAGAUAGGCGUCCUUCGUUCUUAGAUGUAUGAACCAAUUGUUGGGCAGUAGAUCUUGUAACAGACAAAUACCUUCCAUCUUGAAAUAGCAAUAGAC